rnacentral:sRNA from 1 species
GCUGCUGCUGCAGCUGCUGUUGGUUGAUUUGCUGCUGGAGAUGCUGCUGCUGCUGCUGCUGCUGCAGGUGCUGCUGCAUGUGGUGCUGAAAAUGCUGCUGCUGCAUCUGCUGCUGGAUCUGCUGAUGCAUUUGGUGCUGCUGGAGUUGCUGCUGCUGCAUCUGUUGCAUCUGUUGCUGCUGCUGCUGUUGCUGCUGCUGCAAUUGCAU